CUUAAGAUUAUCCAUUCUAGGAGGGUGUGGCUAACAACAGGUACACUUGGUGCAAAUCUCAGCUAAGCGACCACCCUGAGCUCUUGGCUUUCCUGAUACAGGGACACGGCACUUCUGAGCAGACUAGAAGAAAAAGAGAAUGUUAAGUACAGGGGCGCUGAACUCACAGAAGUGACAGCAAAGAGUUGGG